rnacentral:rRNA from 1 species
AUUGAACGCUGGCGGCAUGCCUUACACAUGCAAGUCGAACGGCAGCACGGAGCUUGCUCUGGUGGCGAGUGGCGAACGGGUGAGUAAUAUAUCGGAACGUACCCUAGAGUGGGGGAUAACGUAGCGAAAGUUACGCUAAUACCGCAUACGAUCUAAGGAUGAAAGUGGGGGAUCGCAAGACCUCAUGCUCGUGGAGCGGCCGAUAUCUGAUUAGCUAGUUGGUAGGGUAAAAGCCUACCAAGGCAUCGAUCAGUAGCUGGUCUGAGAGGACGACCAGCCACACUGGAACUGAGACACGGUCCAGACUCCUACGGGAGGCAGCAGUGGGGAAUUUUGGACAAUGGGCGAAAGCCUGAUCCAGCAAUGCCGCGUGAGUGAAGAAGGCCUUCGGGUUGUAAAGCUCUUUUGUCAGGGAAGAAACGGUGGGAGCUAAUAUCUCUUGCUAAUGACGGUACCUGAAGAAUAAGCACCGGCUAACUACGUGCCAGCAGCCGCGGUAAUACGUAGGGUGCAAGCGUUAAUCGGAAUUACUGGGCGUAAAGCGUGCGCAGGCGGUUUUGUAAGUCUGAUGUGAAAUCCCCGGGCUCAACCUGGGAAUUGCAUUGGAGACUGCAAGGCUAGAAUCUGGCAGAGGGGGGUAGAAUUCCACGUGUAGCAGUGAAAUGCGUAGAUAUGUGGAGGAACACCGAUGGCGAAGGCAGCCCCCUGGGUCAAGAUUGACGCUCAUGCACGAAAGCGUGGGGAGCAAACAGGAUUAGAUACCCUGGUAGUCCACGCCCUAAACGAUGUCUACUAGUUGUCGGGUCUUAAUUGACUUGGUAACGCAGCUAACGCGUGAAGUAGACCGCCUGGGGAGUACGGUCGCAAGGUUAAAACUCAAAGGAAUUGACGGGGACCCGCACAAGCGGUGGAUGAUGUGGAUUAAUUCGAUGCAACGCGAAAAACCUUACCUACCCUUGACAUGGCUGGAAUCCUUGAGAGAUCAGGGAGUGCUCGAAAGAGAACCAGUACACAGGUGCUGCAUGGCUGUCGUCAGCUCGUGUCGUGAGAUGUUGGGUUAAGUCCCGCAACGAGCGCAACCCUUGUCAUUAGUUGCUACGAAAGGGCACUCUAAUGAGACUGCCGGUGACAAACCGGAGGAAGGUGGGGAUGACGUCAAGUCCUCAUGGCCCUUAUGGGUAGGGCUUCACACGUCAUACAAUGGUACAUACAGAGCGCCGCCAACCCGCGAGGGGGAGCUAAUCGCAGAAAGUGUAUCGUAGUCCGGAUUGUAGUCUGCAACUCGACUGCAUGAAGUUGGAAUCGCUAGUAAUCGCGGAUCAGCAUGUCGCGGUGAAUACGUUCCCGGGUCU